GUAACCGAAACGAAAAAAAAUUGUACUCGAUAAACUUUUUUGUUUUGGUUAUCGAAUACGGGUCUGUGUUUACGGCGAGAAUCUUUCUUUUGUUGGCUACAAUCAAAAAACAAAACCGGACCUACCCUAAAUUGAGAUUCCUCCAUAUUGUAAUUGUAAAGAUCAUAUUGUGGUUGCGACGCCGAGGGAGGAGUGUAGAGAGGUUGAGAGUGACGGUGAUGGUUACUCUGUUUAUUGUAAGAGAGGUCAAAGAGCAGCUAUGGAGGAUCAUUUCUCCGCUAUCACUCAUCUUAAUUCAUGGAGAUCGCAAACAGGCAAAAUUUGGAGUUUAUGAUGGUCAUGGAUGAGUUCAAGCGGCUGAGUUUGCAGCUAAGAACUUAGAUGUGAACGUUGUAGAAGAAGUAGGUGGUAAGAGACAACAGAACGUUUAGGAAUGGUCAUUUCAACACUGUCGGUGGUAAUUACGGUGUUAAUGGUUAUAAUGGUGAGAUGAGGAAAGCUCCAGCUGUGGAGAAUACAUUGCCUGUGAGGUUGGAGGAUCUGUAUAAAGGUGUUAAGAAGAAGAUGCGGUUAUCUAGAAAGGUCUACGAUGCUUCUGGGUAUGCUUUUCUUCUUUAUCUCCCUCUCCAUCUCUCUAUAUACACACAAACCAGAAUCGAGAGCUAGAAGAAUCUUUCCUUUAAGCAUUGCAGUUGUACACAUCUAAUUGGAUAGUUUUGGUGCUGGUUUGGCUGAGAAAGCUUAUACUUUGAAUUUCUUCUUUUGAUCUCUGGAUAUGAUUGUUAUGCGUGAUCACAUUGAAGUUGUUGGAAAGAAAAAAAAGUUACUAUGAGCUGAUGACAAGACUGGCAUGCUUAGUGAAACAUAACAAUGAUUCUUAUAACGA